rnacentral:rRNA from 1 species
AUGCAGAAUGCAACAAAAGCCCAAAUUCUGAGGUCAUGCAUUGUUAAUUCUUAUUUAUGGAGACAAUGUAAGCUUCUCCAGUUAACUGAAAAUAUGAGGCUGAAGUCAGUAAAUCUCUCCACCUCAGACAGAGAGGAGCUAAGUAAUUUUGCUGAAUGGCUUCUUAGGGUGGGCAAUGGAACAGAACCUAUUGUUUCUGUCCCAAACGAUUCUAGUAACUCAUUUAUAGAGCUUCCAGAGUCUUUACUUCUAUCGUCAGAUUGUAGGAACCUUGAUGGAUUGAUAUCAUUUGUCUAUGACUUAGGUUCUGAGCCAGCAAAUAUUUCAUCAUAUUUGUGUCAACGUGCAAUUUUAGCACCUACAAAUGAGGUGGUUUCAGAUAUAAAUACCAGAAUGAUUGCUCAGCUAAAAACAUCUGAAAUGUCUUACUAUAGUUCUGAUUCAAUUGACGAUAGCACUGCUAAUCAUUCCACUCUUGAAGCAUUAUAACCAACAGAGUUUCUAAACACAAUUCCGAUGCCCGGACUUCCUGACCAUAAGUUGCACUUAAAGAUUGGUGUUCCAAUUAUGCUUUUGCGCAAUCUUGAUCCAUCAAGGGGACCUUGUAAUGGUACUAGGCUGAUUGUCACCCAAUUGACAAAUCGUGUGAUUGAAGGUGAAAUCAUAACAAGGAAGGCUACAGGUUCAAAAGUAUAUAUCCCAUGCAUUGUCACAACAUCAACUCACUCAAGGUGGCCCUUCAAAUUGAGAUGGUGCCAGUUUCCCGUGCGCCUUACGUAUGCAAUGACCAUAAACAAAAGUCAAGGGCAAACCUUAAAUUGA